rnacentral:rRNA from 1 species
CAGCAGCCGCGGGAAUACGUAGGUGGCAAGCGUUGUCCGGAAUUAUUGGGCGUAAAGGGCUCGCAGGCGGUUUCUUAAGUCUGAUGUGAAAGCCCCCGGCUCAACCGGGGAGGGUCAUUGGAAACUGGGAAACUUGAGUGCAGAAGAGGAGAGUGGAAUUCCACGUGUAGCGGUGAAAUGCGUAGAGAUGUGGAGGAACACCAGUGGCGAAGGCGACUCUCUGGUCUGUAACUGACGCUGAGGAGUGAAAGCGUGGGGAGCGAACAGGAUUAGAGACCCCGGUAGUCCCUGUCUCUUAUAA